rnacentral:sRNA from 1 species
CCAAGAGCUACUUGGAGCUGCUUCAUAUUUUCUCCAUCCUCAUCGGGCAGAAGAAACUGGAGCUGAAAACUGCCAAGAACCGCAUGAAGAGCGGCCUCGACAAGCUGCUGCGCACUUCUGAGGACGUCGCCAAGAUGCAGGAGGACCUGGAGAGUAUGCACCCCCUGCUGGAGGAGGCUGCCAAGGACACCAUGCUCACCAUGGAGCAGAUCAAGGUGGAUACGGCCAUCGCCGAGGAGACCCGGAAUUCAGUGCAGACGGAGGAGAUCAAAGCCAAUGAGAAGGCCAAGAAGGCACAAGCUAUUGCUGACGAUGCCCAGAAGGACCUGGACGAGGCGUUGCCAGCCCUGGAUGCGGCUCUGGCCAGCCUGCGCAACCUCAACAAGAACGACGUGACCGAGGUACGUGCCAUGCAGCGGCCACCCCCAGGUGUGAAGCUGGUCAUAGAAGCUGUGUGCAUCAUGAAAGGCAUCAAGCCCAAGAAGGUGCCUGGAGAAAAGCCAGGCACCAAGGUGGAUGACUACUGGGAGCCUGGCAAGGGGCUGCUGCAGGACCCGGGCCGCUUCCUCGAGAGCCUCUUCAAGUUUGACAAGGACAACAUUGGGGACGUGGUGAUCAAAGCCAUCCAGCCGUACAUCGAUAAUGAAGAGUUCCAGCCAGCUGCCAUUGCCAAGGUGUCCAAGGCUUGCACCUCCAUCUGCCAGUGGGUGCGCGCCAUGCACAAGUACCACUUCGUGGCCAAGGCCGUGGAGCCCAAGCGGCAAGCCCUGCGGGAGGCCCAGGACGACCUGGGGGUGACACAGCGGAUCCUGGAUGAGGCAAAACAGCGCCUUCGUGAGGUGGAGGAUGGCAUUGCCACAAUGCAGGCUAAGUACCGGGAAUGCAUUACCAAGAAGGAGGAGCUGGAGCUGAAGUGUGAGCAGUGUGAGCAGAGGCUGGGCCGCGCUGGCAAGGUGCGCACCCUCCUCCUGCAAGGCCUGCGGGUGGACCCGGCCCAGACAGGGGCCAGAAAGGACCAGGGCGUGGGUGGGUCCUGGGGUGGCUGUCCACAUCCCCUCCCUGGCAACCCUAGGUGCUAUAGUGGGUAGGGCCAGCCCCAGGCCCCUAGCCCAGCCUCCCAGAGCCCACCCCAUGGGGCUGCCCCUCCAGCUCAUCAAUGGGUUGUCGGAUGAGAAGGUGCGCUGGCAGGAGACGGUGGAGAACCUGCAGUACAUGCUCAACAACAUCUCUGGCGAUGUCCUGGUGGCCGCUGGCUUUGUGGCCUACCUGGGCCCCUUCACGGGCCAGUACCGCACAGUGCUCUACGACAGCUGGGUCAAGCAGCUCAGGAGCCACAAUGUCCCACACACCUCCGAGCCCACGCUAAUCGGGACGCUGGGGAACCCUGUGAAGAUCCGCUCGUGGCAGAUCGCUGGCCUCCCCAACGACACACUGUCAGUGGAGAACGGGGUCAUCAACCAGUUUUCCCAGCGCUGGACCCACUUCAUUGACCCUCAGAGCCAGGCCAACAAAUGGAUCAAGAACAUGGAGAAGGACAAUGGGCUGGAUGUGUUCAAGUUGAGUGACCGCGACUUCCUGCGCAGCAUGGAGAACGCCAUCCGCUUUGGCAAGCCAUGUCUCCUGGAGAACGUGGGUGAGGAGCUAGACCCAGCCCUGGAGCCCGUGCUGCUCAAGCAGACAUACAAGCAGCAGGGAAACACGGUGCUGAAGCUGGGGGACACGGUGAUCCCCUACCAUGAGGACUUCAGGAUGUACAUCACCACCAAGCUGCCCAACCCACACUACACGCCCGAGAUCUCCACCAAACUCACCCUCAUCAACUUCACCCUGUCGCCCAGUGGCCUAGAGGACCAGCUACUGGGCCAGGUAGUGGCAGAGGAGCGACCCGACCUGGAGGAGGCCAAGAACCAGCUGAUUAUCAGUAAUGCCAAGAUGCGCCAGGAGCUGAAGGACAUUGAGGACCAGAUCCUGUACCGGCUCAGCUCCUCCGAGGGCAACCCUGUAGAUGACAUGGAACUCAUCAAGGUGCUGGAAGCCUCCAAGAUGAAGGCUGCUGAGAUCCAGGCCAAAGUCAGGAUUGCAGAGCAGACGGAGAAGGACAUCGACCUGACGCGCAUGGAGUACAUACCCGUGGCCGUCCGCACCCAGAUCCUCUUCUUCUGUGUGUCCGACCUGGCCAACGUGGACCCCAUGUACCAGUACUCCCUCGAGUGGUUUCUCAACAUCUUCCUCUCGGGCAUCGCCAACUCAGAGAGAGCAGACAACCUGAAGAAGCGCAUCUCCAACAUCAACCGCUACCUGACCUACAGCCUCUACAGCAACGUCUGCCGCAGCCUCUUUGAGAAGCACAAGCUGAUGUUUGCCUUCCUGCUGUGUGUUCGCAUCAUGAUGAACGAGGGCAAAAUCAACCAGAGUGAGUGGCGCUACCUCCUGUCUGGGGGCUCCAUCCAGAUCAUGACUGAGAAUCCGGCACCGGACUGGCUGUCAGACCGGGCCUGGCGAGACAUCCUAGCACUCUCGAACCUGCCAACAUUUUCCUCCUUCUCUUCCGACUUCGUGAAGCACCUCUCAGAAUUCCGGGUCAUCUUCGACAGCCUUGAGCCCCACCGGGAGGCUUUGCCUGGCAUCUGGGACCAGUACCUAGACCAGUUCCAGAAGCUGCUAGUCCUCCGCUGCCUGCGUGGGGACAAGGUUACCAAUGCCAUGCAGGACUUUGUGGCCACCAACCUGGAGCCACGCUUCAUUGAGCCCCAGACAGCCAACCUGUCCGUGGUGUUCAAAGACUCCAACUCCACCACGCCCCUCAUCUUUGUGCUGUCACCUGGCACAGACCCUGCUGCCGACCUCUACAAGUUUGCGGAAGAAAUGAAGUUCUCCAAAAAGCUCUCUGCCAUCUCCCUGGGCCAGGGGCAGGGCCCUCGGGCAGAAGCCAUGAUGCGCAGCUCCAUAGAGAGGGGCAAAUGGGUCUUCUUCCAGAACUGCCACCUGGCACCAAGCUGGAUGCCAGCCCUAGAACGCCUCAUCGAGCACAUCAACCCCGACAAGGUACACAGGGACUUCCGUCUCUGGCUCACCAGCCUGCCCAGCAACAAGUUCCCAGUGUCCAUCCUGCAGAACGGCUCCAAGAUGACCAUUGAGCCGCCACGCGGUGUCAAGGCCAACCUGCUGAAGUCCUACAGUAGCCUUGGUGAAGACUUCCUCAACUCCUGCCACAAGGUGAGGCACACUUGGUGCAGGCCCACCCUACCUGCCCCCUGUCCCCGCUCCUCACCUCCCCUGCCUCCCACCUCCCCCAGGUGAUGGAGUUCAAGUCUCUGCUGCUGUCUCUGUGCUUGUUCCAUGGGAACGCCCUGGAGCGCCGUAAGUUUGGGCCCCUGGGCUUCAACAUCCCCUACGAGUUCACGGACGGAGAUCUGCGCAUCUGCAUCAGCCAGCUCAAGAUGUUCCUGGACGAAUAUGAUGACAUCCCCUACAAGGUGGGCCUGGGGCAGACUGGGGCCUGGGGGACUGGGCACUUAGGGGAGCCCUUACCCACCCACCCCAUAGGUCCUCAAGUACACGGCAGGGGAGAUCAAUUACGGGGGCCGUGUCACUGAUGACUGGGACCGGCGCUGCAUCAUGAACAUCCUGGAGGACUUCUACAACCCUGACGUGCUCUCCCCUGAGCACAGCUACAGCGCCUCGGGCAUCUACCACCAGAUCCCGCCCACCUACGACCUCCAUGGCUACCUCUCCUACAUCAAGAGCCUCCCACUCAAUGACAUGCCUGAGAUCUUUGGCCUGCAUGACAAUGCCAACAUCACCUUUGCCCAGAAUGAGACGUUCGCCCUCCUGGGCACCAUCAUCCAGCUGCAACCCAAAUCAUCUUCUGCAGGCAGCCAGGGCCAGGAGGAGAUAGUGGAGGACAUCACCCAAAACAUUCUGCUCAAGGUGCCUGAGCCUAUCGACUUGCAAUGGGUGAUGGCCAAGUACCCAGUGCUGUAUGAGGAAUCAAUGAACACAGUGCUAGUACAAGAGGUCAUUAGGUACAAUCGGCUGCUGCAGGUGAUCACAGAGACACUGCAAGACCUGCUCAAGGCACUCAAGGGGCUGGUGGUGAUGUCCUCUCAGCUGGAGCUGAUGGCUGCCAGCCUGUACAACAAUACUGUGCCUGAGCUCUGGAGUGCCAAGGCCUACCCAUCGCUCAAGCCUCUGUCCUCAUGGGUCAUGGACCUGCUGCAACGCCUGGACUUUCUGCAGGCCUGGAUCCAAGAUGGCAUCCCAGCUGUCUUCUGGAUCAGUGGCUUCUUCUUCCCCCAGGCUUUCUUAACAGGCACUCUGCAGAAUUUUGCCCGCAAAUUCGUCAUCUCCAUUGACACCAUCUCCUUCGAUUUCAAGGUGCCCGCUGGGACCCAGAGACCUUCCAGCUGGCUGAGUCUCAGCCCAAGGAGCUGUACACAGAGAUGGCCGUUAUCUGGCUCUUGCCAACACCCAACCGCAAGGCCCAGGACCAGGACUUUUACCUGUGCCCCAUCUACAAGACACUGACUCGUGCUGGAACACUAUCAACCACAGGACACUCUACCAACUAUGUCAUUGCUGUGGAGAUCCCCACCCAUCAGCCCCAGCGACACUGGAUAAAGCGUGGUGUGGCCCUCAUCUGUGCCCUGGACUACUAGACUCAGACAGAAGGGCUGGGGCCAUUAAAGCUGAAUUUUCU